rnacentral:rRNA from 1 species
UACGGGGGGGGCAAGCGUUGUUCGGAAUUACUGGGCGUAAAGGGCUCGUAGGCGGCCAACUAAGUCAGACGUGAAAUCCCUCGGCUUAACCGGGGAACUGCGUCUGAUACUGGAUGGCUAGAGAUUGGGAGAGGGAUGCGGAAUUCCAGGUGUAGCGGUGAAAUGCGUAGAUAUCUGGAGGAACACCGGUGGCGAAGGCGGCAUCCUGGGAAGUACCUGACGCUGAGGAGCGAAAGCAUGGGUAGCAAACAGG